rnacentral:rRNA from 1 species
UGGGGAAUAUUGCACAAUGGGCGCAAGCCUGAUGCAGCAAUGCCGCGUGUGUGAAGAAGGCCUGCGGGUUGUAAAGCACUUUUAUUAGGAAAGAAAAACCCGGAGAUAAUACCUCCGGCAUUGACGGUACCUAAAGAAUAAGCACCGGCUAACUAAGUGCCAGCAGCCGCGGUAAUACUUAGGGUGCAAGCGUUAAUCGGAAUUACUGGGCGUAAAGCGAGUGUAGGCGGCUACGUAAGUCGGAUGUGAAAGCCCCGGGCUCAACCUGGGAAUUGCAUUCGAAACUGCGUGGCUAGAGUUUGGUAGAGGUAAGUGGAAUUCCGGGUGUAGCGGUGAAAUGCGUAGAUAUCCGGAGGAACAUCAGUGGCGAAGGCGGCUUACUGGAUCAAAACUGACGCUGAGGCUCGAAAGCGUGGGGAGCGAACAGG